AAACUCUACUUGUCCUUCUGAGU
rnacentral:miRNA from 4 species